GAUUGACCUCGGAUCAGGUAGGGAUACCCGCUGAACUUAAGCAUAUCAAUAAGCGGAGGAAAAGAAACCAACAGGGAUUGCCUCAGUAACGGCGAGUGAAGCGGCAACAGCUCAAAUUUGAAAUCUGGCUCCUUCGGGGCCCGAGUUGUAAUUUGUAGAGGACGUUUCGGGCGCGGCCCGGUCUAAGUCCCUUGGAACAGGGCGUCAUAGAGGGUGAGAAUCCCGUAUGUGACCGGUGACCAACCCCAUGUGAAACCCCUUCGACGAGUCGAGUUGUUUGGGAAUGCAGCUCAAAAUGGGUGGUAAAUUCCAUCUAAAGCUAAAUACUGGCCAGAGACCGAUAGCGCACAAGUAGAGUGAUCGAAAGAUGAAAAGCACUUUGGAAAGAGAGUCAAACAGUACGUGAAAUUGUUGAAAGGGAAGCGCUGGCAACCAGACCUGCCCCGGGCGAUCAGCGGGUGUUCUCACCCGUGCACUCGCCCGCGAUCAGGCCAGCAUCGGUUUCGGCGGUCGGAUACAGACCCGGGGAACGUGGCUCUCUUCGGGGAGUGUUAUAGCCCCGGGUGCAAUGCGGCCAGCCGGGACCGAGGACCGCGCUUCGGCUAGGAUGCUGGCGUAAUG
rnacentral:rRNA from 1 species